GCCCGCAAAUUACCCACUGGGCGAAGCCCGAGGUAGUGACGAAAAAUAACGAUACCGGUCUCAUCCGAGGCCCGGUAAUCGGAAUGAGUACACUUUAAAUCCUUUAACGAGGAACAAUUGGAGGGCAAGUCUGGUGCCAGCAGCCGCGGUAAUA
rnacentral:rRNA from 1 species